UGCCCAUUAUAUUGGAAUGAGAUGUUCGACGAGCAGGGGUCCACAUACUUUUGGUCAUGUAGUGUAUGUUUUUACAUCACUGCCUAUAGUUUCAUUAAAUUAUCAGCUGCUAUCAUAUGACUCAAAAGUCUGGCUCCCUGAUUGGAUAUGUUGACCCUACAGGAAGUACUAGUGAAGUGCAACCCCAAUGACAAUGGUACACUGACAGACUGUGAACUGGGAAACCCAUUCAAAAGAGAUGCUGAAGUUACUUUCUAUGUAAUAUUGUCCACUUCCCGCAUCUCUCUGAGCACAACUGAUGUAAAUGUUACCUUGCAGCUUGAAACGACAAGUGUGCAGAAGAUACAAGCAAGUGAAGCAAAGGCCAAAGUAGUUUUUGAGCUGCACCUACAAGUAUUUGGGUGGGUGUACGGACAUGGUAUUUGUUCUGCUGUUGCCCUAACCCACCCUUUUAGCUAACAUAAUUGAAGAGCUCCUGUCAUGAAAAUAUAGUUUGUGUUACAAAUGACAACCUAUUCAAUAUUUAGUGCACUAUUUUUGACCAGAGCACUAUGGGACCUUAUCAAAAUUAGUGCAUUACAUAGGGAAUAGAGUGCCAUUUGGGACGCAAACCUGAAUGUGGUGAAGGAAUUAAGGUUUAAGAGAUGUGUUUGUUCUCAGACUGGCCAGGUCCUCCCAGGUCAGCUUUGGAGGAGCUGUAAAGGGAGAGAGCGCCAUGAAAUCAGAGGACGAUAUUGGAACCCUUGUGGAGUGUGAAUUCAGGGUGACCUCAUUGAUUUGUGGCUCAAAAUGCUAUUGUUCCCUGGUGCUUAUCGAAAUUACAUAUGCCUUAGUCCUGAGAGAACACACAGGAUUUAUAGUAUAUCCUUUAGUUUCAAUACACCCAAUUCAAGUAUAUUCUACUACUCAAAAUCAAGCCCAUGAUUACAGCAGUUUCAGUUGUAUCACCUAUAUUAG